GGUUAAGCGACUAAGCGUACACGGUGGAUGCCCUGGCAGUCAGAGGCGAUGAAGGACGUGCUAAUCUGCGAUAAGCGUCGGUAAGGUGAUAUGAACCGUUAUAACCGGCGAUUUCCGAAUGGGGAAACCCAGUGUGUUUCGACACACUAUCAUUAACUGAAUCCAUAGGUUAAUG
rnacentral:rRNA from 2 species